rnacentral:rRNA from 1 species
AGUGAACGCUGGCGGUAGGCCUAACACAUGCAAGUCGAACGGCAGCACAGUAAGAGCUUGCUCUUACGGGUGGCGAGUGGCGGACGGGUGAGGAAUACAUCGGAAUCUACUUUUUCGUGGGGGAUAACGUAGGGAAACUUACGCUAAUACCGCAUACGACCUACGGGUGAAAGCAGGGGAUCUUCGGACCUUGCGCGAUUGAAUGAGCCGAUGUCGGAUUAGCUAGUUGGCGGGGUAAAGGCCCACCAAGGCGACGAUCAGUAGCUGGUCUGAGAGGAUGAUCAGCCACACUGGAACUGAGACACGGUCCAGACUCCUACGGGAGGCAGCAGUGGGGAAUAUUGGACAAUGGGCGCAAGCCUGAUCCAGCCAUAACGCGUGGGUGAAGAAGGCCUUCGGGUUGUAAAGCCCUUUUGUUGGGAAAGAAAAGCAGCAGGUUAAUACCCCGCUGUUCUGACGGUACCCAAAGAAUAAGCACCGGCUAACUUCGUG